UACGGAGGGGGCUAGCGUUGUUCGGAAUUACUGGGCGUAAAGCGCACGUAGGCGGAUUGUUAAGUCGGGGGUGAAAUCCCGGGGCUCAACCCCGGAACGGCCCUCGAUACUGGCAGUCUUGAGGACGGUAGAGGCUAGUGGAAUGGCGAGUGUAGAGGUGAAAUUCGUAGAUAUUCCCCGGAACCCCAGUGGCGAAGGCGACUGGCUGGACCGUUACUGCCGCUGAGGUGCGAAAGCGUGGGGAGCAAACAGG
rnacentral:rRNA from 1 species